GGGAGGUAUUCUAGGUAAACCUUUUGCCUUUGUGUCUAUCCAUUUUGUUAAUAUCUUAAAGAGAUGGGAGGAAAGGCAAGAUUAAGUUGGUUCUUUCAACUCUGAGGGUAAACUGCCUUCCAGUGGCUAGGCUUCUGUUUUUUUCCGUAGUGUUUUUGAGCUCUUAACAUCUAGCAGCUAAAAAGAAUUGAGUAAGUGUAAGGUCUUGUUACAUAGUUUAAGUGACCUGUUUUUGUAGCAGUAAUGGACAAAGGUAAUACUUAAAUUAUAAAAUGUUGCCUGCUUUACAUAUAGAUAUGAGUUGAAUUUUAAAAAGCAUAACUUACUAAAAUUCACAAGUUCAAGGGGAAAUUUUAACUUUUGAAUAUAGGUGGCAGGUUUUAAGAAGCAAAUGGCAGAUACUGGAAAACUGAACACACUGUUGCAGAGAGCCCCCCAGUGUCUUGGGAAAUUUAUUGAGAUUGCUGCCCGAAAGAAGCGAAAUUUUAUUCUGGAUCAGACAAAUGUGUCUGCUGCUGCCCAGAGGAGAAAAAUGUGCCUGUUUGCAGGCUUCCAGCGAAAAGCUGUUGUAGUUUGCCCAAAAGAUGAAGACUAUAAGCAAAGAACACAGAAGAAAGCAGAAGUAGAGGGGAAAGACCUACCAGAACAUGCGGUCCUCAAAAUGAAAGGCAUGGAAUUUUAAUUCUGUUACUGUGUGAAAUCUUUUUUUUAAAAGAAUGUUUUUCCUACAUAUUCUGCUUGUGUAACUAUGUUAAAUCUAUUAGGACUUAAGCCUCCUGAAAGUUAACAUUUUUUCCAGCAAUACUGCUUCAGGAAUUAAAAUUGCAGUUGUUACAUAUGCAUAUAUGUUUGGUCUGUUUUUAUUUUUAGGAAAAUAUGUUACUAAACCUCAAGAAUUGUCAGCUUUAGGAUUGUGAGGAUUCGUGGUGGGUUUCUAAGUUACUAAUAUGACUUUGUUUCCUGCAGGAAACUUUACCCUCCCAGAGGUAGCUGAGUGCUUUGAUGAAAUAACCUAUGUUGAACUUCAGAAGGAAGAAGCCCAAAAACUCUUGGAGCAAUAUAAGGAAGAAAGCAAAAAGGCUCUUCCACCAGAAAAGAAACAGAACACUGGCUCAAAGAAAAGCAAUAAAAAUAAGAGUGGCAAGAACCAGUUUAACAGAGGUGGUGGCCAUAGAGGACGUGGAGGAUUCAAUAUGCGUGGUGGAAAUUUCAGAGGAGGAGCCCCUGGGAAUCGUGGCGGAUAUAAUAGGAGGGGCAACAUGCCACAGAGAGGUGGUGGCGGUGGAGGAAGUGGUGGAAUCGGCUAUCCAUACCCUCGUGCCCCUGUUUUUCCUGGCCGUGGUAGUUACUCAAACAGAGGGAACUACAACAGAGGUGGAAUGCCCAACAGAGGGAACUACAACCAGGUAAUGAUUCAAGAUCCCUGGAAGCAUGAUUGAUAACUGUAGCUUAGUCUGGAAAGGUGUGAGCUUUAUGUUGGGGUGUCUUAGUAAUCCGUAAGGAACGUGAUAGGCAUUGACAUAAGGAAAAUUGAACUAGUAAUGGUGAAAUGAGUCUACUUACUUUUGAGUUUUUUCAGGUGUACUAAACAAGUCAGAUGCAUUUCUCAUAAUGAAUAAAAAAUUAAAACAUUAAGAAACCAGCAGAGGGUAUCCAGAAUUUGUGUAUUGCCCCCUAAGAUUAGGGGCUAGCAACCUGUCCAUUUCUGCUCCUCUCUCCCACCCCCACAAACCUAACAAGCAAUUGGGCUCAGAGCUCUUAGAGAGUAUUUCCUUUUUGUAGAACUUCAGAGGACGAGGAAACAAUCGUGGCUACAAAAAUCAAUCUCAGGGCUACAACCAGUGGCAGCAGGGUGUAAGUAAUUUCUUAUGUGCUUUAUGUACAUUAAUUGUAUUUUGAGUUCCUAAGAUUUAUCAGUCUUGAAAAAGAUCUUGUCCAGGGAUUGAAGUGUUUAUAAGUGUUAAUAGGGUAAAGUGUGAAUCGUCUUGCAGUAGUAGCCAUAAUCUACCUUUUGAAGGCAAAAUAGGUUGAAGAUUGCUAUAAGUUAAAUUUUUUUAAUAAAGUAAUAUUAUUUAAUAUAUACAGUUCUUUUACUGCUAGCUUUAAUUGUGUAAACUAACAAAGUCAUGAUGUUUCAUUUUGUAAUGUGUAUUGAUAAUUAUGGGAUAUUAAAACUAAAUCUGGUUUGGUAGAAAUCAGAGGUAUGACAGGUAUAAAUUUGUUUCCAGCAAAUUACUCUGAAUUAGAUUCAUUGUCAUUUCCUAAAAACAGUUUGAGUGGCUUAUUGAUGUUUUUUCUUUAAAAACAAAAUUUUCUCUUACAGCAAUUCUGGGGUCAGAAGCCAUGGAGUCAGCAUUAUCACCAAGGAUAUUAUUGAAUACCCAAAUAAAACGAACUGAUACAUAUUUCUCCAAAACCUUCACAAGAAGUCGACUGUUUUCUUUAGUAGGCUAACUUUUUAAACAUUCCACAAGAGGAAGUGCCUGCGGGUUCCUUUUUUAGAAGCUUUGUGGGUUGAUUUUUUUUCUUUUCUUUUUUGUACAUUUUUAAUUGCAGUUUAAAAGUGAAUCGUAAGAGAACCUCAGCAUUGUGCACGAUAAGAGAAUGUGUCAGUAUUUCAG
rnacentral:sRNA from 1 species